ACCAGGGUGGCUCAGUGGUUUAGAGCAUGGGUUUGCUAAUCCCAGGUUGUGGGUUCGAUUCCCACUCAAGUA
rnacentral:tRNA from 1 species